rnacentral:misc_RNA from 1 species
CUGCUGUUGAGGCUCCAUCUACGAAUGGAUAAUAUUUGAGUCUUAGUCUCAACCUAGUUUAUUAAAAAAAGGAGCAAUAUCAACCUUCUUUAGAUCUUAUAUUAAGAAAAGAAAGUUGAUAUUGCUCCUUUUUUUAUAUUAUAAGUUUUUAUAUUAUAAAGAUUUUAAAUAACAAAAUAAUAAAAAAUUUUCUUUUAGUAUCAUACUUUCCUGAUUUAGUAAUGUUAUCUACUAUUUACUAUUCUUUUUUUUUAUAAAUAUAAGUAAGUUUUUACCUAGUUUUUUGAAAUUAUUUUUUUGAAAAAAAUAAGGUGGAAUUUUCUACUUCUUCAGUCUUGUAUUCAAGUUUUUGGUUUUUGAUUUUCGAAAUCAAUUUGAAAAUAAGUUAAACAARACAGUUAAACAAGACAAAAAUAGUAGGGGCGGAUGUAGCCAAGUGGAUCAAGGCAGUGGAUUGUGAAUCCACCCA